UACAGAGGUCUCGAGCGUUGUUCGGAUUCAUUGGGCGUAAAGGGUGCGUAGGUGGCGCUGUAAGUCGGGUGUGAAAUCCUGAGGCUUAACCUCGGAACUGCAUUCGAUACUGCGGUGCUUGAGGACUGGAGAGGAGACUGGAAUUCAUGGUGUAGCAGUGAAAUGCGUAGAGAUCAUGAGGAAGACCAGUGGCGAAGGCGGGUCUCUGGACAGUUCCUGACACUGAGGCGCGAUAGCAUGGGGAGCAAACAGG
rnacentral:rRNA from 1 species